AACGAACGCUGGCGGCAGGCUUAACACAUGCAAGUCGAACGCAUCCUUCGGGGUGAGUGGCAGACGGGUGAGUAACGCGUGGGAAUCUACCCAGUUCUACGGAACAACUGAGGGAAACUUCAGCUAAUACCGUAUACGCCCUACGGGGGAAAGAUUUAUCGGAAUUGGAUGAGCCCGCGUUGGAUUAGCUAGUUGGUGAGGUAACGGCUCACCAAGGCGACGAUCCAUAGCUGGUCUGAGAGGAUGAUCAGCCACACUGGGACUGAGACAGGGCCCAGACUCCUACGGGAGGCAGCAGUGGGGAAUAUUGGACAAUGGGCGCAAGCCUGAUCCAGCCAUGCCGCGUGAGUGAUGAAGGCCUUAGGGUUGUAAAGCUCUUUCAGUGGGGACGAUAAUGACGGUACCCACAGAAGAAGCCCCGGCUAACUUCGUGCCAGCAGCCGCAGUAACAC
rnacentral:rRNA from 1 species